rnacentral:lncRNA from 1 species
GCAAAAUUGUCAUUCAGAUUAUAAUUGCGAUUAUUCUCCUGUGAUAAGAGUUAGGUGCUAAUUUUGUGUGAGAAGAAUGUGUGACGAUACAUUUUGGAAGUGAAGUUUCUCCCCCUCCUUUUACUUCCAUUUGGUCCCAGAUUCACAAUUCAUGAAAGAAAAGUAGAAUUGUUUGGGAGACUUCUAAGAAGAGCUGCUUACAGUGAACAUUUCAGAUUUUCUUGAGUGUGGGCUGGGAAAGUCUCCAUUCUCUCCAUACUGACAAAGCCUGUUGUUCCCAUCCUAACUUCUCUGAACUUGAAGAGUGUCACUACACUGAGUCUCACUCCCAGGCCCGCCAGUGACCCGGAAGGCAGUGCUUAGGAAGACACAGAAGUCUGCGCAAGUCUUUCCAAGAGCCGUUUUCUUUUAAUUUCAGGUCCCCAGGAGGGGUUCAUUAUAGUACAUUUAUACGACUCACAGAAUGUGGGAUUCCUCCCCUUUGAGUAUUUUUAUAGUUAGGUGGAUAACUCUGCCACAGAUGCAUGGAUUGCACAUUUUGACUCUGUAAUACUUAGUAUGAAAAAUUAAUUUAUGCCAAAAAGGAAACAUAUCUUAUCAUUUUCCCACUUAACUAGGUUGAUCUAGCACAAAAUGCAGUCUUGGGGCAGAGCGGGAGUGGUAAAAAUUUUUAAUGUAUGAUUGUUGAAAAAUGUUCCAUUGCUGGCCUGUCAGAAACCCUAAGGAUGCAUUGUGAGACAAAUGAUGUAAGUUCAGUUAGCUUUGAAGAGUGGUAAGGGAUCAUAGAGAGGAUCUCAGCUAAUGCUCUCCGACCACAUAACGUGUUUUUAUUUAGUAAUACGCUGCUACAUUUUUGGAGGUUCUGGUAUUUGUAGGUCACUGAACAGACAUUGAAAUCUGAUUUAUAUUGUAUAACUGUAACAUAGAAAGAAAAAGUAUUUAUAUAUUUUCCUUAAGAAUAUUUCAUUGAGUUGUGUAUAAUUUAAAUAAGAUUUGUCCCCAAAUGGUUUUGCUCACUUUGAUUUUUGUUGUUGUUACUGUUAUUGUGGUUGUAAUGUUUUUGUAUAAUGUGUACAGUUUAUGUUAAGGGCAUUAAAGCCUCCUGAAGCAUAAUCUUAUCAAAGGGAUUCAUUGUUAAUAAAAUGUACUUAAAAUUCUUAAA